rfam:Tulasnella calospora MTT 4182 unplaced genomic scaffold scaffold_35, whole genome shotgun sequence.
GCACCGGGGGCUCGGUGGUUGAGCAGGGGAUUGCAGUUUCACGGGUUCUGAACCCGUGAUCACCAUCCCAAGGCCAUGGGUUCAAAUCCCAUUCGGUGCU